GGAGGUAGUAUGUAGGGUCUGAUAGAGGGAGGUAGUAUGUAGGGUCUGAUAGAGGGAGGUAGUAUGUAGGGUCUGAGAGAGGGAGGUAGUAUGUAGAUCCUGAUAGAGGGAGGUAGUAUGUAGGGUCUGAUAGAGGGAGGUAGUAUGUAGGGUCUGAGAGAGGGAGGUAGUAUGUAGGGUCUGAGAGAGGGAGGUAGUAUGUAGGGUCUGAUAGAGGGAGGUAGUAUGUAGUCCCUGAGGGAGGUAGUAUGUAGUCCCUGAUAGAGUGAGGUAGUAUGUAGGGUCUGAUAGAUGGAGGUAGUAUGUAGGGUCUGAUAGAGGGAGGUAGUAUGUAGGGUCUGAUAGAGGGAGGUAGUAUGUAGGGUCUGAGAGAGGGAGGUAGUAUGUAGUCCAUGACAGAGGGAGGUAGUAUGUAGGGUCUGAUAGAGGGAGGUAGUAUGUAGGGUCUGAGAGAGGGAGGUAGUAUGUAGUCCCUGAUAGAGGGAGGUAGUAUGUAGGGUCUGAGAGAGGGAGGUAGUAUGUAGGGUCUGAGAGAGGGAGGUAGUAUGUAGGGUCUGAGAGAGGGAGGUAGUAUGUAGGGUCUGAUAGAGGGAGGUAGUAUGUAGUCCCUGACAGAUGGAGGUAGUAUGUAGUCCCUGAUAGAGGGAGGUAGUAUGUAGGGUCUGAUAGAGGGAGUUAGUAUGUAGGGUCUGAUAGAGGGAGGUAGUAUGUAGGGUCUGAGAGAGGGAGGUAGUAUGUAGGGUCUGAUAGACACUACCCUCUGCAACUGGAUCCUGGACUUCCUGACGGGCCGACCACAGGCUGUGAGGAUUGGCAACAACACCUCCUCCACACUGACUCUUAACACAGGGGGCCCCCCAGGGAUGUGUCCUUAGUCCUCUGCUGUACUUCCUGUUCACCCACGACCGAAUGGCUUUGCAGGACACCAACUCCAUCAUCAAGUUUGC
rnacentral:lncRNA from 1 species